UACGGGGGGGGCAAGCGUUGUUCGGAAUUACUGGGCGUAAAGGGCUCGUAGGCGGCCACUAAGUCGGACGUGAAAUCCCCAGGCUCAACCUGGGAACUGCGUCCGAUACUGGAUGGCUUGAAUCCGGGAGAGGGAUGCAGAAUUCCAGGUGUAGCGGUGAAAUGCGUAGAUAUCUGGAGGAAUACCGGUGGCGAAGGCGGCAUCCUGGACCGGUAUGACACUGAGGCGGCGAAAGCAA
rnacentral:rRNA from 1 species